GGGCGCUUAGCUCAGCUGGUUAGAGCAUCUGCUUUACACGCAGAGGGUCGGGGGUUCAAGUCCUCUAGCGCCCA
rnacentral:tRNA from 1 species